UACGUAGGCAGCAAGCGUUGUUCGGAGUUACUGGGCGUAAAGGGUGUGUAGGCGGUUGUUUAAGUUUGGUGUGAAAUCUCCCGGCUCAACUGGGAGGGUGCGCCGAAUACUGAAUGACUAGAGUGCGGGAGAGGAAAGUGGAAUUCCUGGUGUAGCGGUGAAAUGCGUAGAUAUCAGGAGGAACACCGGUGGUGUAGACGGCUUUCUGGACCGUAACUGACGCUGAGGGACGAAAGCCAGGGGAGCAAACGGG
rnacentral:rRNA from 1 species